rnacentral:rRNA from 1 species
CCUACGGGAGGCAGCAGUGAGGAAUAUUGGUCAAUGGACGAGAGUCUGAACCAGCAAUGUAGCGUGAAGGAUGACUGCCCUAUGGGUUGUAAACUUCUUUUAUAUGGGAAUAAAAUGUUCCACGUGAGGGAUCUUGUAUGUACCAUAUGAAUCAGGAUCGGCUAACUCCGUGCCAGCAGCCGCGGUAAUACGGAGGAUCCGAGCGUUAUCCGGAUUUAUUGGGUUUAAAGGGUGCGCAGGCGGCCUGUUAAGUCAACAGUAAAAGCACGGGGCUCAACCCCGGCGAGCCGUGGAAACUGGCGGGCUAGAGUGGGAGAGAGGGACGCGGAAUGCGAGGUGUAGCGGUGAAAUGCUUAGAUAUCGCGCAGAACCCCGGUUGCGAAGGCAGCGUACCGGCUCCACACUGACGCUGAGGCACGAAAGCGUGGGUAGCGAACAGGAUUAGAUACCCCUGUAGUC